AUCACCAUGGGAUGGAGCUGGAUCAUCCUCUUCCUGGUGACAGCAGCUACAGGUGUCCUCUCCCAGGUUCAGCUGCUGCAAUCUGAAUCAGAGCUUGGGAGGCCGGGGUCUGCACUGAAGUUGUCUUGCAAGACUUCAGGCUAUACCUUCACUACCUUUACUAUGAACUGGGUGAAGCAGAGGCCUGGACAGGGCCUGGAGUGGAUUGGAAGGAUUUAUGCUGAAAAUGGUCAUACAGACUAUGCUCAGAAGUUCAGAGGCAAGGCCACGCUGACUGUAGACAAAUCCUCCAGCACAGCCUACCUGGAGCUCAGCAGCCUGACAUCUGAGGAUUUUUCGAUGUAUUAUUGUGCCAGACACAGUGUUGUAACCACAUCCUGA